rnacentral:tRNA from 1 species
GCUCCCAUCGUUCAAUGGAUAGGACAUAACUUUGCGGAAGUUAAAAUGUUGGUUCGAUUCCAACUGGGAGCA